rnacentral:rRNA from 1 species
GACGUAGGGCGCGAGCGUUGUCCGGAUUUAUUGGGCGUAAAGAGCUCGUAGGCGGUUUGUCGCGUCGUUCGUGAAAACUCACAGCUUAACUGUGAGCUUGCGGUCGAUACGGGCAGGCUAGAGUUCGGUAGGGGAGACUGGAAUUCCUGGUGUAGCGGUGAAAUGCGCAGAUAUCAGGAGGAACACCGGUGGCGAAGGCGGGUCUCUGGGCCGAUACUGACGCUGAGGCGCGAAAGCGUGGGGAGCAAACAGG